AGUCCGGCCCCGGCGGUACAUUAGCUAGUUGGUAAGGUAAAGGCUUACCAAGGCGAUGAUGCAUAGCCCGAGUUGAGAGACUGAUCGGGCCACAUUGGGGACUGAGACACGGGGCCCAAACUCCUACGGGGGGAGGGGCAGCAGUAGGGGGAAUCUUCCACAAUGGACGCAAGUCUGAUGGAGCAACGCCGCGUGAGUGAAGAAGGUUUUCGGAUCGUAAAGCUCUGUUGUUGGUGAAGAAGGAUAGAGGUAGUAACUGGCCUUUAUUUGACGGUAAUCAACCAGAAAGUCACGGCUAACUACGUGCCAGCAGCCGCGGUAAU
rnacentral:rRNA from 1 species